rnacentral:lncRNA from 1 species
ACGUCUGCACAAAAAUGAAAACUGUCUUGAUGGCCACUCCGAGGCGCAGUACAUAUGUGCGAGGCUCGGAAAGAUGCAUCCGGGGUAGUCUUUUAUAAAAGAUCAAUCAAAGUUGUGGUAGCAUAGCGUGGAAAAAAGAGGAAAAAGAGGCCACGACUUCCUCGAGAUUGACAUGGGCACGGACUCGUCCUCAAUCGCCCACGCCGCCGGUUCGCCUUUGCCGCUCCAGCCGGCCUCCAUACGUCCGUGACGCCUCACGCCGGGCCAGCUCCCGCUGCAGGACAUCGUGACCCGCCACACUCUAGCUGAGCUACCAUCGCGACCCGCCACGCUGCUCCCGCGCCUCGACCACCGGCCACGCCUGCCAUGCCCGCCAUGGCUCGCCUGUUCACCUCACCUCGCCUCCACAGCUUUUUGCCCCGCCGGCUCUAGCUGCACCGCGCCAAACCGCCUCUACCGCCGCGCUCCGCCUCAUCGCCUGUAAAUGCAAGCCGUCGCCUCGUCUUCCUCGAGUCGCCGCACGAGACACCGUCCGUAUUUCUCCUCGAGCAGGCAUCGCCUCGAGCGACCUCGCUAUUGCUACGCCCAUGGCCGACUUCCACUCGGUGAUGUUUCUUCUCCACUACACGACCAACCGCAGCCGCGCCCUCUGCUGGCACCAGCUCUACUCCGCCUUGUGCCCUGGUCUGUUGCACCCCUGCGCGGCGCUCUAUGCGCCCAGCAAAGGUUGUUUCCGUUUAGGAUUGGAAACGCGUGAUGCUGAAGGCAGCCGUGAGGGGUUACUGCCAAUACUACCUCGGUCAAAUCCACAGCGCGACUUCAAUCAUCUAA